GGGUCAGUAGGUUGGUCGUGCCACCGGUACGUACUGGUCUCACUGACUCCUCCUUCCUGAAGAACCGUAAUGCCAUUAAUUUGGUGUUGCGGGGAAACAGGACUGUUACGUUGAAAAAAUUAGAGUGUUUAAAGCAAGCUAACGCUUGAAUACAUUAGCAUGGAAUAAUGAAAUAGGACGAUCGAUCCUAUUUUGUUGGUUUCUAGGAUUGACGUA
rnacentral:rRNA from 1 species